ensembl:lncRNA novel transcript
AGUUUUUCUUCAGGACGAUUACAGCCCAGAGCAGCUAAGUUCUUUUCAAAAUUUCAAAAUGCUGGAUUGCUUUAGUAGAGACGGGGGUUUCACCGUGUUAGCCAGGAUGGUCUGGAUCUCCUGACCUCGUGAUCCGCCCGCCUCGGCCUCCCAAAGUGCUGGGAUUACAGGCGUGAGCCACCGCGCCCGGCCCCUCAUAAGGCCAAAGACGGCUAUGUUUUUAAAGGAACUACAGUAUCUUAUCGUUCUGAUGGUCUGGAAGUUUAUAUUCACAUCCAAGAAUUCUUCCUGCUUCUCCGAAAACUCAUCCUUUGCUUUAUUACUCUUCAUGGGAAUAAGGAAACAGCUGUGCAGUAUAAGUUAUGUGCUCUUUCUUUUCUUCUUGACAACUAUUAUCAACUCAUUCUUACCGAAAAAUGACUUAAUAAACUUCUCUCUUCUAGCCUCUUUUAAAAGAUCUAUGUAGUUUCCAAAACU